UACGUAGGGGGCAAGCGUUGUCCGGAAUCAUUGGGCGUAAAGCGCGCGUAGGCGGCCCUGUAAGUCCGUUGUGAAAGUCAAAGGCUCAACCUUUGAAAGCCGAUGGAUACUGCAGGGCUAGAGUCCGGAAGAGGCGAGUGGAAUUCCUGGUGUAGCGGUGGAAUGCGCAGAUAUCAGGAGGAACACCGAUAGCGAAGGCAAUCCCCUGGACCUGUACUGACGCUCA
rnacentral:rRNA from 1 species